UAAUGAAAAAGAAAUUAAAACAAAUAGUUAUAAUAACACAAAAAUUAUAAUUUUUAAAAGACAAUAUCAUAUUUGGAGAGUAAUAUGGCAAACACAAUCUCCAUAAUGUCCAAUGCGUUACGAAAUGUUGUGAGCAAGAAACGCAUACGAUACAAAGAAAAAGGAUUUAAUUUGGAUCUUUCUUAUAUUUGCCCGAAAAUUAUUGCGAUGGGAUAUCCUGCGCCGGACAUUAUCGAAGGCAUUUACAGAAAUCGCCUUGAGGAUGUUUAUAAAUUUAUGGAAGAAAGUCAUGGAGGGCAUUACAAAAUAUAUAAUCUGUGUCAAGAACGGAGCUACGACAUAAAUAAAUUUCAUGGGAAUGUUGCAACAUACCCAUUUGAGGAUCAUAACCCUCCCCCCAUUGUACUGAUACAACGUUUUUGUGAAGACGUUGAGUCCUGGCUUAAUAGAGAUCCAUUAAAUGUCGUAGCUGUGCAUUGCAAAGCUGGAAAGGGAAGAACUGGUACAAUGAUAUGUGCAUACUUGGUUCAUAGUAAAUUCCUGAAUACAGCAGAUGAAGCGUUGGCUUUUUAUGAUGAAAAACGUACAAUAGAUCGGAAAGGAGUUACAAUUCCAUCUCAACGUAGAUAUGUUCAGUAUUAUUCAAAUUUAAUCCCAGAUAUACAUUAUGAAGUAGUCAGUCUUUACAUUUCUGAAAUCCGUUUUACUGAGACAAAUUACUUGCAUAAUCUUGGUACAGUGCAAUGUUCAAUUUUCGACAGGCAAGAGUCUUCAGCAGAAAAACUUAAGGCGCAUGAGCUGAAAACGUGGACAAUUGAUUUUCAAAAAACUUCAAUAUUGGAUAUAACUAAUUCGCCUUUAACAGUUUCUGGUGAUAUCAAAGUUGAACUUACUCAAAAGUCAUCAAGAAAGAUUAUUUGCAGCUUUUGGGUUAAUACAUUCUUCAUGCAAAAUGAUGCGGUUCGCGUUCCCGACGGAAACACCGUAAAAUUUAUGCAUACCUUAAAUAAAUCUGAAAUUGAUGGUGCACAUAAAGACAAAGAUCAUAAAUCGUUUUCGGAGGACUUUAAGAUCUCUCUCGUAUUUAUAAAAGAAGAAAAGCGCUCUGACAGUAUACGCACUGAACCCUCAGUAGAUAACAAUAGGAGCAGUAAACAAAGCUCAGAAUUUUUUCUUGGUGAUAAUGAUACGAAUCUAAAUAGUGGGGGUUCUGUUUUAAACUCUCCGUCCUCAAGUCGUUUGUUUGAAGGUCCAUUUCAUACCAGUGAUGAAAGAGGUGAAACUCAAUCUCACCUAAUAGCACAUAACAGAAAACUUAUUAAAAAUCAACAUAAAAAAUCAACUAUCUCAAAAUUUCCUGCAAUGGCAUCUAAACGAAAACAAUCUUCUUCAAAAUGCUUACUAAGCGUUAAUAAUACCUCGUCAGGCAAGGACAACAAAAAACAGCAUAUUUUUAAUCAGCCGUCCGGUAAACAAUUCGAUAUAGUGCCAACUAAAUGGCCUAGUAAUAUGUAUGAAAAAACCUCUGAGGGUCUACGUAUAUUUGAUCGAUGUAAUAUUUCUAACAUUUCUGGCGGAGAUAAAAUUUUCGAACAGAAGUCACACAAUACUUGCAAACGAUCAUCUUCUGAUUUAAAUCAGAGUGGGGAAGAAGAAGACGAAGAUUGGGAAUCCGCAACAUGACGUAUCACCAAAAAAACGAUUACAGUGUCUACCGCACUUUAAAUGAAAUGAUUUAAAAAAAAUCCAAGUCAGAAGAGGGAGAGUGAAAUCUUAUUUAAAAGCAUAGGUUAUGUAGUGGCCAAAAUUGUGGACUUAAUAUCAAUAUUGACCUUAAUUUUUAUAGCUAUGGAGCUAGCCGGCAUUGACGUAAGGAAUCAGAUACCAAAAUUUUCUGUUAUAAAAAGUUCUAUAAAUUGUUGCUAAGGCCUGCUGGCUCUACCCUAAGCAGCAAAUUCAACAGAAAUGUGAUAUAUAUCCGGGGUGAUAUCUACAUCAACAUGACAAGAGGUGAUAACCCACCACUUCACUUUUUUGGCUGCCAUUAUGUUAUUUAUUUAUUUUUAAAAUGUGAAAUACAACAAGCAUGUACAGUAUAUGUUGUUAAAAAUAAGCUUAAAUCAACAGUUGAUUACACAUUAAUUGUUUUAGUCUAAAUUCAAAUUAUAAGAGUAAAAUUUGUAGCUCAAAGGAAACCC